rnacentral:RNase_P_RNA from 1 species
GGUGGCCGGAUAGCUGCGCAACGGAAAGUAAGAUCCGUUUGUGAGGAAAGUCUGGGCUUCAUGGAAACAAGAUACCGGAUAACGUCCGGCCGGAGAGAUCCGAGGGAAAGCGCCACAGAAAAGAACCGCCCGAUAAUCUAUCGGGUAAGGGUGAAAAGGCGAGGUAAGAGCUCACCGCCGACAUAGCAAUAUGUCGGGCAUUAGGCAAGCCCUAUCUGAUGUAAGACCAAAUGAGGAGUAUCAGGAUCCAUCCUGACGGAGCGUUUCCACUCUGUCCAAAGGUAGGUCGCACCAACAAAUCGGCAACGAUUUGUGCAGAUGAAUAGCUAUCGGUGUCAACUUUGAUUUUUUUUCAAAGCAAUGGCAUACACAAAACCCGGCUUACAGGCCAC